rnacentral:rRNA from 1 species
AUUGAACGCUGGCGGCAUGCCUUACACAUGCAAGUCGAACGCGAAAGGGGGGCAACUCCUGAGUAGAGUGGCGCACGGGUGAGUAAUGCAUCGGAACAUGUCCUGUAGCGGGGGAUAACCUAGCGAAAGCUAGGCUAAUACCGCAUACGCCCUAAGGGGGAAAGUGGGGGAUCGUAAGACCUCACACUAUAGGAGUGGCCGAUGCCGGAUUAGCUAGUUGGUGGGGUAAAAGCUCACCAAGGCGACGAUCCGUAGCUGGUCUGAGAGGAUGAUCAGCCACACUGGGACUGAGACACGGCCCAGACUCCUACGGGAGGCAGCAGUGGGAAUUUUGGACAAUGGGCGAAAGCCUGAUCCAGCGAUGCCGCGUGGGUGAAGAAGGCCUGCGGGUGUAAAGCCCUUUCGAUGGGGAGAAAGCCUGGAGCUAAUACCUCCGGGUCUUGACGUUACCCAGAGAAGAAGCACCGGCUAACUCCGUGCCAGCAGCCGCGGUAAU